rnacentral:rRNA from 1 species
UGAGGAAUAUUGGUCAAUGGGCGAGAGCCUGAACCAGCCAAGUAGCGUGCAGGAUGACGGCCCUAUGGGUUGUAAACUGCUUUUAUGUGGGGAUAAAGUGCGUGACGUGUCAUUCAUUGCAGGUACCACAUGAAUAAGGACCGGCUAAUUCCGUGCCAGCAGCCGCGGUAAUCCGGAAGGCCCGGGCGUUAUCCGGAGUUAUUGGGCGUAAAGCGAGAGCAGGCGGUCAAUUAAGUCUGAUGUGAAAGCCCCCGGCUCAACCGGGGAGGGUCAUUGGGAACUGGUUGACUUGAGUGCAGAAGAGGGGAGUGGAAUUCCAUGUGUAGCGGUGAAAUGCGUAGAUAUAUGGAGGGACACCAGUGGCGAAGGCGAAUCGCUGGUCUGUAACUGACGCUGGGGCUCGGAAGCGGGGGUAGCAAACAGG